UGGAGAACCUGGUGUCACAUUGGCAAUCACUGAUCUACAGGUGAUGGUGUAUCCUGACACAGUGACAGAGGGACAGAGUGUGAGACUGACCUGUAGCACCACCUGCACUCUGACUGGCAGCCUUCAUCUGGUACAGGGACGGAUCUCCUCUGUCCUUCACUGGUCGGAGUCACCAAUUCAGAGCCAGCAGUGAAGACCGAGGCCGCUACACCUGUGCUGUGAAUGGCUAUGAGCUUCAGUCCCCUGCAGUGGCUCUUAAUGUGAGAUAUGCUCCCAAGAACACCUCAGUAUCAGUGAGCCCCUCUGGUGAAAUAGUGGAGGGCAGUUCAGUGACUCUGACCUGCAGCAUUGAUGCCAACCCACCAGUGCAGAACUACACCUGGUUUAAGAAGAAUGACACUGGAGUCUGGCAGGCAGGAUCAGGACGGAGUUUGAACUUUUCUAACUUUAGAUUCUGGAACAGAGGACAGUACUACUGUGAGGCACGGAAUAAACAUGGAGGUCAGAAUUCUGCUCAAUCAACACAGAAGUAGGGGAUAGGACAGUGCUUGUGUGGACGGUUGUUGGAAUCACAGUGGCUGUUGCACUCGUUGCUGCUGUUGCGUGUAUGAGAGCAGAGCCUUCGGGGAGUGACAAACGCAGCCA